AUGCUUGCUUCGGCUGCACAUAUACUAAAAUUGGAACGUGACAGAGAAGAUUAGCAUGGCCCCUGCACAAGGAAUGACAUGCAAAUUCCUGAAGCGUUCCAUGCUUUU